GCGAGCGUAGUUCAGUGGUAAAACAUCUCCUUGCCAAGGAGAAGAUACAGGUUCGAUUCCCGUCGCUCGCC
rfam:Zea mays cultivar B73 chromosome 2, whole genome shotgun sequence.